rnacentral:rRNA from 1 species
AGGGUUUGAUUAUGGCUCAGGAUGAACGCUAGCGACAGGCCUAACACAUGCAAGUCGAGGGGCAGCGGAGAGGUAGCAAUACCUUUGCCGGCGACCGGCGCACGGGUGAGUAACACGUAUGCAAUCCACCUGUAACAGGGGGAUAACCCGGAGAAAUCCGGACUAAUACCCCAUAAUAUGGGCGUUCCGCAUGGAGAGCUCAUUAAAGAGAGCAAUUUUGGUUACAGACGAGCAUGCGCUCCAUUAGCCAGUUGGCGGGGUAACGGCCCACCAAAGCGACGAUGGAUAGGGGUUCUGAGAGGAAGGUCCCCCACAUUGGAACUGAGACACGGUCCAA